UACAGAGGGUGCAAGCGUUAAUCGGAAUUACUGGGCGUAAAGCGCGCGUAGGUGGUUCGUUAGUGAUGUGAAAUCCCCGGGCUCAACCUGGGAACUGCAUUCAAAACUGUCGAGCUAGAGUAUGGUAGAGGGUGGUGGAAUUUCCUGUGUAGCGGUGAAAUGCGUAGAUAUAGGAAGGAACACCAGUGGCGAAGGCGACCACCUGGACUGAUACUGACACUGAGGUGCGAAAGCGUGGGGAGCAAACAGG
rnacentral:rRNA from 1 species